CCUUUUUCCAGCAGUCUGUGGUCUCGUUGCAAGCACAUGCUGUGAGGAGUGAGUCAGAGGGAGGCACAAAAGUGACAGUGACUGAGAGCGGAGCAGAGAAAGGUUAGUGGUAAGUUGUCAGUCUAGCAGUGGUACAGUGUAGGUGCACCAAUUAAUAAAUGCUGCAUCUCAGGACCAAGAGAAGUCUGCUGCUGGAAAAGUGAAGGGGGUUAGCUCUAAAGCCCCGAUAACAGCCCCGACUACAUUUAAUAGUAAGAUUUAGGAGUAACUUCUAGCCAGGGACGUUUUAAGCUUUAACCUCAGUGUUGUAGCACAAUAUCACGUUGCAUACCAACUCGCUGUUAGCUUUAUUAGCUAUUUAGUUUAUGUAAUAAGUUGAUUAUUAGCAACGAUCGACAGCUAGAAAUAAGAAACCUGCUUUUUGUCUGCCUCUGUAAAAUAAAGAUCGGGGGAUGGGAGGGGUGGUAUUUAGUGAAUGGUAGUGUCAGGGAGGUGUGAAAAUCUGUUGGAUUUUAAGCUUUAAACUGCUUCCUUCUGGAGUAAUGCAACCAAAACUGCCCUUGUGACAUUUUUUCAGCCCGGAUCACCUGGCAGCAUAAACCCUCGCUGAGCCAAAAGGAGGUGGGAAGGCAGUUUUGGCGAUACAGGAAGAAAUGGAGGUCGGACUUGAAAGACAGAAAGGAAGUGAGCAGUAAAAGGGUACUUUUAAUCAGCCUGAUGAAUUCUGCCAGACGGACAGCAGCCUGACCUCCAACCCCCGAUGAGAGAGUGAUGGAGAGAGUUGGCACUGACAAGGCGCUAUUAAUAUUUCAUUAACAGUGCUUUAAUGAUCAUUAAACUGCACUGUGAACUCGGCUGGCAACAUGUGAUCCUGUGUUCUACUGUCUGCUUCUCUGUGUCAUAAAUAAGGAUGAAUUAGUCUGUAAUUAUAGGCGGAAAAAGAACUGGUAAUGACAACAAAAAUAUACAUGCGUUUCAUUACGUGUACACUAAAUACGCUACGUCACAUUUCUUUAUUCUAAUGCGUUAAGAUGAUAAAUCUGGUUUCUAUGGUUUCUAAACUUCUAUGAAUGGGUUUUAAG
rnacentral:lncRNA from 15 species